rnacentral:rRNA from 1 species
GAGCCAGACUCCUACGGGAGGCAGCAGUGGGGGAUAUUGCACAAUGGGGGGAACCCUGAUGCAGCGACGCCGCGUGGGUGAAGGAGUGCUUCGGCAUGUAAAGCCCUAUCGGCAGGGAAGAAGCAAGACGGUACCUGGGGAGGAAGCUCCGGCUAACUACGUGCCAGCAGCCGCGGUAAUACGUAGGGAGCGAGCGUUGUCCGGAAUUACUGGGUGUAAAGGGAGCGUAGGCGGGGAUGCAAGUUGGGUGUCAAAACUACCGGCUCAACUGGUAGUCGCACUCAAAACUGCAGCUCUUGAGUGAAGUAGAGGCAGGCGGAAUUCCUAGUGUAGCGGUGAAAUGCGUAGAUAUUAGGAGGAACACCGGUGGCGAAGGCGGCCUGCUGGACUGCAACUGACGUUGAGGCCCGAAAGCGUGGGGAGCAAACAGGAUUAGAUACCCUGGUAU